GACACUUUGGCCGAGUGGUCAAGGCGUAUCCCUGCUAAGGAUAUCCGCUUCCGCGGGCGUGAGUUCGAUCCUCACAGGUGUCG
rnacentral:tRNA from 1 species